rnacentral:tRNA from 1 species
AUGACCUCGCGGAUGGAGAGGGAUUCGAACCCUCGGUAUUCCUAUCAAUACUUCGGUUUUCAAGACCGACUCUUUCAACCGCUCAGACAUUCAUCCCUGCGCUCGCCUGCCCUAUCUAUCUGCGUGCUGGCAGGUAGGGGCAACUCUAUGUGA